rnacentral:sRNA from 2 species
CUUUAAAAAUCUGGAUCAAGCUGAAAAUUGAAACGACACACUGUUUAAGUGUGUUCGAGUCUCUCAAAUUUUCGCGACACGAUGAUGUUUUACGAAACAUCUUCGG